UCAAGAGUCGGCUGCUUAACAGACUGAGCCACCCAGGUGCCCCUGAGAUGAUUUUUAAAAUUUUCUUUUCUUUCUUUUUCUUUUUUUGCUAUUGCAGAUGACAGAACAAUCAUCAUCCUGGUACUUGUCUAGUUAUAUAUUAUAGAACAUACACCUAAAAGAAGUAUAGAGGAAUUGCUAGCUUGAAGGAUAUGCUAAUUUACAUAUCUCCUAGACGUCAGAUUGCUCACUCAUGUUAUUUUCCGCCACCGCCAGCAAAUUCAAAUCCUCAGCAACAUUUGCAUGUGUUAUCGGUGAUACUACACUCUUUCCAGUGGGGGCAGACCAUCUUUUCCCCCACCCGCCUCCCCAUCACUGCAGUGAAGGAAGCCUGCCGCAAAAGAGAGUAUCCUGUGUGAUUCCAUGUACGUAAAGUACAAAAACAGGAAAAACUUAUCUAUGCUGUUGGCAGUCAGGAUACUUUUUUAAUCCUUUGGGGUGGUGGAUGGAAUGGAGCACAGAGGGAUGCUAGGGGCUGGAAAUGUCCUGGAAAUUAGUUACAAGAGUGUUGUUCAGUUUGGGAAAACUCAUUGAGCUGUACUCUUAUGGUCUGUGCAUUUCUCCAUAUAUUACUCUGAUAGAAAAUUGUUUUUUUUUUUAAAGCUACAACAUGUUUUUUUUAAAAGAUUACAUGUACUUAAAAAUUAUCAUUUUGCCUAGGAAUGUAUAUCUGGCUUGAUCUGGGGAGGCAAUCUUUCUGUCUGCUUUGACAGAAACUUCCAUCAGGAUCACUCAACAGCCUAAAAUGGAUACUUUUAGAAUCAACUCCUAAAAACUCAGCACAGACAUUCAUUAAGCGCCUGCCACAUGGGAGAGGUAGGGAGCUCCAUGUUCUGAUGAUAAGAUACAGAAGCUGCUUCUUUUGCUGAGCUGAGAGGAAAAACUGGCUUAUAAAGCAGUUGAACUGCUUGGGACUUAAUCAUAUGAAACUAGACACUUACCUUUCAGCAAAGAUGGCAGAUAACCUGGAACAUCUCUCCUUUGCUAUUUCUGUGGAGUGUGAAUUUUUUUUGAGGUCACUAACCUUGAGGAAGAUGGGCAGUGUGGGACCUGGGAAGAAGGAGAAAGGGUGGGUGGAAUAGACAGAUGCCAAAAAAAGAAGCGGAGGAAAAGGCAAGAGAGGGGAGAGAAGACAUUGCUUCUUCCAUCUGCGUCAACCAGGGUAGAUGAAGAGAUUAAAUGGAUCCAAACUGUCACUCACGACCACUGAAUAACAGAAAGAACAUCUUUUUGCUCCAAUAAAAAGUGGGAAGGAUGGCA
rnacentral:lncRNA from 1 species